CCGCGUGAGUGAUGAAGGUUUUCGGAUCGUAAAGCUCUGUUGUUAGGGAAGAACAAGUGCCGUUCAAAUAGGGCGGCACCUUGACGGUACCUAACCAGAAAGCCACGGCUAACUACGUGCCAGCAGCCGCGGUAAUACGUAGGUGGCAAGCGUUGUCCGGAAUUAUUGGGCGUAAAGGGCUCGCAGGCGGUUUCUUAAGUCUGAUGUGAAAGCCCCCGGCUCAACCGGGGAGGGUCAUUGGAAACUGGGGAACUUGAGUGCAGAAGAGGAGAGUGGAAUUCCACGUGUAGCGGUGAAAUGCGUAGAGAUGUGGAGGAACACCAGUGGCGAAGGCGACUCUCUGGUCUGUAACUGACGCUGAGGAGCGAAAGCGUGGGGAGCGAACAGGAUUAGAUACCCUGGUAGUCCACGCCGUAAACGAUGAGUGCUAAGUGUUAGGGGGUUUCCGCCCCUUAGUGCUGCAGCUAACGCAUUAAGCACUCCGCCUGGGGAGUACGGUCGCAAGACUGAAACUCAAAGGAAUUGACGGGGGCCCGCACAAGCGGUGGAGCAUGUGGUUUAAUUCGAAGCAACGCGAAGAACCUUACCAGGUCUUGACAUCCUC
rnacentral:rRNA from 2 species